CUGCAGCCAGUUAAGCCAACUGGGUUCCUUUCCUCAUGGUGGCCCAGUGUGCAAUGGCUGCAAACAGCAGCCUACUUGCAGUGUAUGUAACCUGUUGCUUGUACAGGUGGCCCUAAGGGACCUUGGAGACAGUC
ensembl:snoRNA SNORA70 Small nucleolar RNA SNORA70